AUCGCUUCUCGGCCUUUUGGCUAAGAUCAAGUGUAGUAUCUCUUCUUAUCAGUUUAAUAUCUGAUACGUCCCCCAGCGGGGGACGACAUAUUAAGCGGAUUUUUUGAACAGGGAGUCGGCAAAGGGGCUUGCUCCAUCCGCUCCACGCAUCGAACCAGUAUUGCAGUGCUUCUGGGAGUGGUGUACUUUCU
ensembl:snRNA U2 U2 spliceosomal RNA